rfam:Gossypium arboreum cultivar AKA8401 contig_3408_1, whole genome shotgun sequence.
UGUUAAAAUUUCAUCUAUUUCUACUAUUUGAAGUUGGCGUAGCUGAUAGAAUAAUCAAAUAGUUACACAUAACGUGUCGCGUAUACCUCAUGCUGAUGUAUAAUAACCACUUUUUAAUAGAAGAAAUGGAUGGAUUUUUUUUAUA